rnacentral:rRNA from 1 species
UACGAAGGGGGCUAGCGUUGUUCGGAAUUACUGGGCGUAAAGCGCACGUAGGCGGAUUGUUAAGUCAGAGGUGAAAUCCCGGAGCUCAACUUCGGAACUGCCUUUGAUACUGAGGAUCUUGAGUUCGGGAGAGGUGAGUGGAACUGCGAGUGUAGAGGUGAAAUUCGUAGAUAUUCGCAAGAACACCAGUGGCGAAGGCGGCUCACUGGCCCGGUACUGACGCUGAGGUGCGAAAGCGUGGGGAGCAAACAGG